UACGAAGGGGGCUAGCGUUGUUCGGAAUAACUGGGCGUAAAGGGUGCGUAGGCGGAUUUUUAAGUCAGGGGUGAAAUCCCGAGGCUCAACCUCGGAACGGCCUUUGAUACUGGGAAUCUUGAGUCCGGGAGAGGUGAGUGGAACUGCGAGUGUAGAGGUGAAAUUCGUAGAUAUUCGCAAGAACACCAGUGGCGAAGGCGGCUCACUGGCCCGGAACUGACGCUGAGGCACGAAAGCGUGGGGAGCAAACAGG
rnacentral:rRNA from 1 species